AACGCGACUCUGCGGGAGGGAAGAAAGCAGACUGUUGCCGACAUUUUCUCAGCAGCAUUGAACGCCUUGAACGAUCCUUGUGUUGUGAAGAUGCUGUGGAAGUGAUUCUUCGAAAGCUUUACGGUGGACAGAUUCUGCAGGUUCUGCAUGGCAACAAGGGACGAGAUGCAAGCCAAAGAGAUGACUGCAAACCAGAAAAUGACCAUGAGAGUCAUUCUAACAGAGGCAGAUAUAAGGAAAGUCAUCCUACAUUCAAGGCCUUCUACAGUAAAAGACUUGAUAACCAAGCUUCGAGAGUCACUGGGACUUCAAUACAACUUCAGUCUCCAAUUCCAAGACCCUGAAUUCAAUAAUGAACUAUGUAAUCUAACAGAUCUUCAAGAACUUCCAGAAAAACCAACCAUUAAAGUCCUGCCUGUCUUUGACCUGGUGCCUGUCUCAUCUGAUGACGUCUUUAGCGACACAAGUACUGCAGAUACAGAGAUACUCUCACAUUCACCUCAGGAUCGACGUGAACCAUGGCCAGAAUUUUUGACAUUCCAACAUUUUCUGUUGAUGUGGAGUAUAGACUGAGGCAAGCAGAUUUGCUGUUUAUGAGUGAAGGAACACACCUUAAGGUCUCAAAAGAGCUGAAACAUGAGAUACUAGAGAGACUGGCAGAAAGCAUGUAUAGCUACACAGCAUACCCAACUGCUGCUCAGUUUGAAAGUGUUGCAACAGCACUGAUAAACAAACACCCCUGUCUCCAGGAGCGAGGCUCUGUCACUCGCUGUUGUGGUUGG